AACGCACAUUGCGCCCUUUGGUAUUCCAAAGGGCAUGCCUGUUCGAGCGUCAUUUGUACCCUCAAGCUUUGCUUGGUGUUGGGCGUCUUUUUGUCUCCCCUUGCGGGAGACUCGCCUUAAAGUCAUUGGCAGCCGGCCUACUGGUUUCGGAGCGCAGCACAAGUCGCGCUCUCUUCCAGCCCCAAGGUCUAGCAUCCACCAAGCCUUUUUUUCAACUUUUGACCUCGGAUCAGGUAGGGAUACCCGCUGAACUUAA
rnacentral:misc_RNA from 1 species